ACGCUCGACACCUACUGGAGGCAGCAGUGGGGAAUAUUGGGCAAUGGGCGCAAGCCUGACCCAGCAACGCCGCGUGAAGGAAGAAGGCCCUCGGGUUGUAAACUUCUUUUANCAGGGACAAACAAUGACGGUACCUGAUGAAUAAGCCACGGCUAACUACGUGCCAACAGCCGCGGUAAUCUGAGCGGGCUGGCAAGGC
rnacentral:rRNA from 1 species